UGGGGCUUUGUGACACUUUUUUUUUUCCUGUUUAUCCUGGACACUGCACACUGCCUGGAGGGAUCAAGCCUGGAUGCAGGAAGCAAAGGAUCCUCUCAGAGAGAGAGAGAGGAGAGAGCUGCCUCCAGAUCCAGUGGGUGCUCCACCUUCUUCAGGCUUCAGCAAUGGAAGACCUCGGCUGACAAGUUUUCCAGAUGAAAACAUCUGUACAACACCUGCAGGACACUGAAGACCAGCAGCUGCUAGGUCUUAGGACUCACCUGCCUGAAGAACCAACACUGCCCAGCCACCUGUGUGCGUUUGGAAAGGAGCUAACGGGACUCUGUCACCACCUGCUGGCACAGUGUGGAACUGCAACCCAGCUGUAUUAGGCAUUGCAAACUGUUCCCAAUAAAGAACAGUUGGGGUGAGGAGAGCUGUGGAAAAUUCUGUAGAAAUAAACAUGUUUACUUCUAACACA